rnacentral:rRNA from 1 species
GAUGAACGCUGGCGGCGCGCCUAAUACAUGCAAGUCGAGCGAGAAAGUGUAGCAAUACACUUGUAAAGCGGCGAACGGGUGAGGAAUACAUGGGUAAUCUACCAUCGAGUGGGGAAUAACCAACCGAAAGGUUGGCUAAUACCGCGUACGCCUCCGAGUCUUCGGGUUCGGAGGGAAAGCUGCACUGUGAGUGUAGCGCUCUUUGAUGAGCUCAUGUCCUAUCAGCUUGUUGGUAGGGUAACGGCCUACCAAGGCUUUGACGGGUAGCUGGUCUGAGAGGACGAUCAGCCACACUGGCACUGCGACACGGGCCAGACUCCUACGGGAGGCAGCAGUAAGGAAUAUUGCGCAAUGGGCGAAAGCCUGACGCAGCGACGCCGCGUGGGGGAUGAAGGUCUUCGGAUUGUAAACCCCUUUCGGGAGGGAAGAUGGAGCGAGCAAUCGUUCGGACGGUACCUCCAGAAGCAGCCACGGCCAACUUCG